AAAAAAUCUAGUAAGGUUUUUAAUUGUGAUGGUUUAUCAAAUUCAUCGAUUAAUUACUGUUGUAUGUUAAAAUUGAACACAGGCCUUUUCUACUUAUUAAUAAUGUCCUUUAGAUGUCUUUUUUGUAAGAUUUUGUGGCAACUGAAUGAGAAUUUAAAAAAGAAAAUUUAGUAAGAUCUUUAAUUGCAAUGAUUUAUAAAUUUCAUUGUUGACAUUGUAAUGUUUUAAAUCAUGAAGAAUUUAUCACUAUGUAAUAACUCCUAAAUUUUCAGGGUGCUGUGGAAAUUAUCCCUAUUUUAUUCUUGCCUUUGCUUACUGCCAAAAACCAGCCUUUGCCCACAACUAAAGUGCUUAACUCAUUUUAUAUUUCUGGAGGUGAAU
rnacentral:misc_RNA from 1 species